rnacentral:rRNA from 1 species
ACUGCUAUUGGGAUCCGACUAAGCCAUGCGAGUCGAGAGGGUUCGGCCCUCGGCAGACUGCUCAGUAACACGUGGAUAAUCUACCCUUAGGUGGAGGAUACUCUCGGGAAACUGAGAAUAAUACUCCAUAGAUCCAGGAUGCUGGAAUGCACCUAGAUUGAAAGUUCCGGCGCCUAAGGAUGAGUCUGCGGACUAUCAGGUAGUAGUCAGGGUAAAGACCUGACUAGCCUACGACGGAUACGGGUUGUGAGAGCAAUAGCCCGGAGACGAUAUCUGAGACACGAUAUCGGGCCCUACGGGGCGCAGCAGGCGCGAAAACUUCACAAUGUGCGAAAGCACGAUGAGGGGAUCCCAAGUGUUGGUUCGUAAGAAUCAUCUGUUUCUUUGUCUAAAAAACAGAGAGAGUAAGAGCUGGGUAAGACGGGUGCCAGCCGCCGCGGUAAUACCUGCAGCUCAAGUGGUGGCCGCUAUUAUUGGGCCUAAAACGUCCGUAGCCGGUUUAGUAAAUGCUUGGGUAAAUUGUGUAGCUUAACUAUACGAAUACCGAGUAGACUGCUGAACUUGGGACCGGGAGAGGCUAGAGGUACUCCUAGGGUAGAGGUGAAAUUCUGUAAUCCUAGGGGGACCACCAGUGGCGAAGGCGUCUAGCUAGAACGGGUCUGACGGUGAGGGACGAAGCCCUGGGGCGCAAACCGGAUUAGAUACCCGGUAGUCCAGGGUGUAAACGCUGCUCGCUUGAUGUUAGUUGGGCUCCGAGCCACUAGUGUCGGAAAGAAGUUGUUAACCAGCUGCCUGGGAAGUACGGUCGCAAGGCU